rnacentral:rRNA from 1 species
GGGCUCACACAAGCGGUGGAGCAUGUGGCUUAAUUCGAAGCAACGCGAAGAACCUUAUCCAGGGUUUGACAUCCCGGAUUAAACCGUCGAAAGACGGUCUACACCCUUUGGGUGGAACGGUGACAGGUGCUGCAUGGCUGUCGUCAGCUCGUGCUGUGAAGUGUCGGGUUAAGUCCCUCAACGAGCGCAACCCUUAUCGUUAGUUGCUAACAGGUAAUGCUGAGGACUCUAGCGAGACUGCCGGUGUCAAACCGGAGGAAGGUGGGGAUGACGUCAAGUCCUCAUGGCCUUUAUGCCCUGGGCUGCACACGUGCUACAAUGGUAGGUACAGAACGAUGCAAGACCGCGAGGUGGAGCAAAUCGCUAAAACCUGCCCCAGUUCGGAUUGGAGGCUGCAACUCGCCUCCAUGAAGUCGGAAUCGCUAGUAAUCGC